UUGACCUGAAAUUAAUUUUGGUCUUAUUUAAAAAAAAAAAAUAAACGAAAUAUAUAAAAGUACUUUGGAGGUAAAAUCUUUGUACUUAAAAUAGUUUACUGAUUCAUCACUGCACUUCUCAAGUAAUUAGAGUGACCCAGCGCCCAGCGAGCCAAGCAAUUGGAGCAAGAGCUUCGUGAAUCUCUUCAGUAGACAUAGUUACAUUAGUUAUUACCUGUGCAAGAAAUGAAGUAAAUAUAUUGCGAACGAAUAUAACGGUAAACUAAAAAAUUAAUUUUAUUGUAAGUUUUCUUGUAUCAUAAAAUGUAUCUAUUAAUUAAACUAAAUUCCAUAUUAAAACUUCCUCAGUGUGAAUGAUGAAUCCUUAAUACCUUACAAUUUACAACUUAAUAGCGAAACUACUUUUCCAAUUAUGUUUUUGCAGUUUUUGUAUUUGGGUUGGGUAUUCUUCGAAUCCUCGGUCAAAGACAUCUGUCAAUUCUUUAAUAUUAAAUGACAUUUCAGUGUAGCCAAAAAUCAAUUAUAAUACUAUUUUAUUUAAUUACUAAUAUUAACUAAGAGUAAUUUAAAAGCAAGAUUAUCAUCGUUCUAGAAAAUAAGACGCAAAAGUAUAGAUGUCUAGUGUAAAGAAAAUGCAUUUCACUUUCGUAGGACGUAUAAUUUAUACUAUUUUAUAUUAAGGUUGAAUAAACAGUUCACAUCCGUACAAAGAAAACAAAAUAUUUUUAUUUCCGAGAUAAUACCGCCUUUGUACAUCUUUCUUUGUAUGUAUCACUUAUUUUGUAACAUUACUUUACGAUGGACAAUAAAGAGUAUUUGUUAUUACUAUUA